AUACGAAGGGGGCUAGCGUUGUUCGGAAUUACUGGGCGUAAAGUCGCAUGUAGGCGGACAUUUAAGUCAGGGGUGAAAUCCCGGGGCUCAACCUCGGAACUGCCUUUGAUACUGGGUGUCUAGAGUGUGGAAGAGGUAAGUGGAAUUCCGAGUGUAGAGGUGAAAUUCGUAGAUAUUCGGAGGAACACCAGUGGCGAAGGCGGCUUACUGGACUGUAACUGACGUUGAGGCUCGAAAGCGUGGGGAGC
rnacentral:rRNA from 1 species